AACGACUCUCGGCAACGG
rnacentral:ncRNA from 3 species